UCACAUAUUUCAAUAACAACUAAUCCUGAAAAUACAAAGCCUACAUUUGAAAGAAUGUAUUUCAGACUUGGUGCACAGAAAGAUGGAUUUCUAGCAGGGUGUAGACCAAUAAUAGGACUAGAUGGUUGUCAUUUGAAAGGGAUUUUUGGUGGGUAGCUACUCUGUGUUAUUGGCAGAGAUGGAAAUGCUAACAUGUCUCCUAUUGCAGUGGCUUUGGUUAAGAUAGAAUGUAAAGCCUCUUGGUCUUGGUUUCUUCAAGAAUUGAUGAGUGAUAUUGGGAGUGUUGAGGAGAUGGGGUGGAAAUUUAUAUCAAAUAGAUAGAAGGGGUUGGUUGAAACAUUUGCAGAGUUAUACUCUACUGCAAAUCACAAAUACUACUUGAGACAUGUGUAUAGUAACUUCAAGACAAAAUACAGUAGUUGUGUGUUGAAAGACCUGUUUUGGAAAGCUGCAUCAACUAGAAAUGUGCAUGAAUUCAAUUAUUGGAUGAAGAAGAUUGAAGAAACUGAUCCUAAGACUGAAAAUAGGAAGACAACUAUGGAGUGGUUGAGGGAGACUGACCCUACUUUGUGGGCAAGGUCACAUUUUUCUUCAAGGAGCAAGCAUGACAUCCUUGUAAACAAUUUGAGCGAGUCAUUCAAUUCUUACAUUUUAGAAGCUAGAGAGCUACCAAUAAUCUCCAUGUUUGAAUGGAUCAAAAGGAAAUUGAUGCAAAUGAUUCAAGUAAAAAAGGCUGGAAUGGCAAAUACAGUGGUGAAAUUUGUCCUAAUAUUCAUGACAAACUUUAGAAGUUGAAGGUAGAAUCAAGAAACUGCUUUGUAACCUGGUGUGGACAAUUGGAAUUUGAGGUUGAUCAUUUUCAGAGGAAGUACAUAGAGGACCUAAGUACUAGGACAUGCAGUUGCAAGAGAUGGGAUUUGUCUGGUUUGUCUUGUAGUCAUGUCAUCAGUGCAAUUCAAAUCAAUCAUGAGUAGCCAGAAGCCUAUGUGCAUGAGUAUUACAGCAAGUCUAGGCACUUGGAUACUUAUGCAUUCACGAUACACCCAGUUCCAGACAUGUAUGAGUAUGAGGAAGGUGGCCAGAAAUUAAAUCCACCAGAAGCAAAGAAAUUACCAGGCAGACCAAAGAAGUUAUGAAACAGACAAGUAGAUGAGCCAAGAAAUCCACACAAGGCAUCAAGGAAGAACAUCAAUGUCACGUGUGCUAAGUGUCUGCAUAAGGGGUACAAUCAGAGGUCAUACAAGAACAAACGGCAUCCUAAGUCCAAAUUGGUAAAGAGAUGUAUUACUGGUCAAUCAUCUCAACCUGUAUCAACUCCUACUCUUGCUCCUACUCCAUCAACAAACAUCCCAUCAAAUGAGAUGUCCAGUAACAUCCAAACUAGAAGAGGAGGCCAAGCAGCAUCUCAGCCACCAAUGAGUACUACUUCUAUUGGACUGAAGAUGAGGAGUACUAGGUCAUCCACUCAGCCCACAAAACUACCAACCAAUGGUGGAAAGACAUCAAGUGGUCCUGACAAAGGACCUAAAAUCACCAUUGGUGGGAGGGGUAGAGGUAGAGGACCAAUUAAUGCAUCUGCAUCUACAGUCAAGGUUGGAAGAACUGGAGUGAAUGCUAAUGUCAGAGGGCAUACUGUUUCAGUAACUUCUAUACUAGAGACAAUCAAAGCAAGGCGGCUGCACAAAGAACUGACAACUGGGUCAAAGUAGACUAUACUUAUAGUUAUGAUUUUUGUAAUGAAACAAUACUUAUAGUUAUGGUUUUUGCAUGUAGAGUUAUGUUUUGUAUUUAGAGUUAUGGUUUUUGUAUUUGAGCUAUGUUUUGUAUUGAGAAUUAUUGUUUUUUAGAAUGGUUUUCAAAUGCAACAAACUUCUGUAAAUGGAUUGGUAUUGAAUAGCA